UGGCGACGAUGGGCAGGCGGGUGCCGGCCGCCGCCUCGGCGGCGCGGAUGCUGCGGGCCAGUUCCAUGCCGUCCAUCUCCGGC
rnacentral:tRNA from 1 species